GGCUCGGUAGCUCAGUUGGCAGAGCAAUGGAUUGAAGCUCGAUGUGUCGGCGGUUCGAUUUCGUCUCCCGCCC
rnacentral:tRNA from 1 species